AGAGUUUGAUCCUGGCUCAGGAUGAACGCUGGCGGCGUGCUUAACACAUGCAAGUCGAACGGACCCAUAUUGAAACCUAGUGAUAUAUGGGUUAGUGGCGGACGGGUGAGUAACGCGUGGGCAACCUGCCUUACACAGGGGGAUAACACUUAGAAAUAGGUGCUAAAACCGCAUAAGCGCACAGCUUCGCAUGAAGCGGUGUGAAAAACUCCGGUGGUGUAAGAUGGACCCGCGUCUGAUUAGCUUGUUGGCGGGGUAACGGCCCACCAAGGCGACGAUCAGUAGCCGGCCUGAGAGGGCGGACGGCCACAUUGGGACUGAGACACGGCCCAGACUCCUACGGGAGGCGGCAGUGGGGAAUAUUGCACAAUGGGGGAAACCCUGAUGCAGCGACGCCGCGUGAGUGAAGAAGUAAUUCGUUACGUAAAGCUCUAUCAGCAGGGAAGAAAAUGACGGUACCUGAGUAAGAAGCCCCGGCUAACUACGUG
rnacentral:rRNA from 1 species